UGAACCAGCCAAGUAGCGUGCAGGAUGACGGCCCUAUGGGUUGUAAACUGCUUUUAUGCGGGGAUAAAGGAGCCCACGUGUGGGCUUUUGCAGGUACCGCAUGAAUAAGGACCGGCUAAUUCCGUGCCAGCAGCCGCGGUAAUACGGAAGGUCCGGGCGUUAUCCGGAUUUAUUGGGUUUAAAGGGAGCGUAGGCCGCCCCUUAAGCGUGUUGUGAAAUGCGGGUGCUCAACAUCCGACUUGCAGCGCGAACUGGGGGGCUUGAGUGCGCCGAAAGUAGGCGGAAUUCGUGGUGUAGCGGUGAAAUGCUUAGAUAUCACGAAGAACUCCGAUUGCGAAGGCAGCUUACUGUAGCGCAACUGACGCUGAUGCUCGAAAGCGUGGGUAUCGAACAGGAUUAGAUACCCUGGUAGUCCACGCGGUAAACGAUGGAUGCUCGUUGUCGGCCUGUGUGGUCGGUGACCAAGCGAAAGCGUUAAGCAUCCCACCUGGGGAGUACGCCGGCAACGGUGAAACUCAAAGGAAUUGACGGGGGCCCGCACAAGCGGAGGAACAUGUGGUUUAAUUCGAUGAUACGCGAGGAACCUUACCCGGGAUUGAAAUGUAGAUGACCGCCGGUGAAAGUCGGCUUUCCUUCGGGACAUCUAUGUAGGUGCUGCAUGGUUGUCGUCAGCUCGUGCCGUGAGGUGUCGGCUUAAGUGCCAUAACGAGCGCAACCC
rnacentral:rRNA from 1 species